UACGGAGGGUGCAAGCGUUAUCCGGAUUCACUGGGUUUAAAGGGGGCGUAGGUGGGCAGGUAAGUCAGUGGUGAAAUCUCCGGGCUUAACUCGGAAACUGCCAUUGAUACUAUCUUUCUUGAAUACCGUGGAGGUCAGCGGAAUAUGUCAUGUAGCGGUGAAAUGCUUAGAUAUGACAUAGAACACCAAUUGCGAAGGCAGCUGGCUACACGAAUAUUGACACUGAUGCACGAAAGCGUGGGGAUCAAACAGG
rnacentral:rRNA from 1 species